UACGUAGGGUGCAAGCGUUGUCCGGAAUUAUUGGGCGUAAAGAGCUCGUAGGCGGUCUGUCGCGUCUGCUGUGAAAACUCGGGGCUUAACCCCGGGCCUGCAGUGGGUACGGGCAGACUAGAGUGCGGUAGGGGAGACUGGGAUUCCUGGUGUAGCGGUGAAAUGCGCAGAUAUCAGGAGGAACACCGGUGGCGAAGGCGGGUCUCUGGGCAGUAACUGACGCUGAGGAGCGAAAGCGUGGGGAGCGAACAGG
rnacentral:rRNA from 1 species